rnacentral:lncRNA from 1 species
UCAUCAAUUUGCUAUGAAUUGGUUCAACAAACAAUACUAAUUUUUUAAUUAACUAAACUGCUGAGUGGUGUUUCUCUGAAAAGGAUGUUUUAACCCUUUGUACUCGAGAAGCACGAAGCGCAGGAAAGCUCAGGGGGAACGAUGCGCUCGUAGCCUGUGGUUUCCCCCGCCUGGGGGGCGGUGCAGGGGCGGCCGGACAGGAGGGAGGAAAUGCAGGAAUCCCAGAGUGGAUGAACGGGAUGGAGAGGGGCGGGCACCAGCUGGGAAGCGUUGAGUGAGAAGAGCAAAAGCAUGGGGGAAGAUUAUCCAGGGAGGAGUAGAAAAGGGGGGAUUUGUGUCGGGCACGGCUGAAGGGACGCAGGAGGGCGGGCACAGCCCGAGGGUCGGCGCUGCUCCGGGCUGCGCGCCCCGAGCGCGGUCUGCAGGGGGUGCGAUUGCCCCGGGAAACGCCGUUCCUCUCUGCCCAGCCUUUUCCCGGCCUGGCUCGGUCACGGGCACGGAAACCUCCCCCCCGAGCGCCGGUGUGAUGGCAGAACAGGUUUUCCUAGGCUUACUUGAAACCUGACUGAACUCCUAACAUCCACAGCAUCCUGAAGCAAGGAGAUCUACAGCUUAAUCACACAAUCUCCACAUUUUGUGGUAUUUUCCUAUGCCUCUUUUUGCAGUGGAGUAUCUUUCAGUAAAAGGUCUCCAGGCUGUGAAGUCUGAUGAAUUUGUACUAUGGCAUGAGGCUGUUCUCAGAUUUGUUCUUGUUUCACUUGCUGAAAAUCACUAAAUGUUCUGUUUGCAGUUUUACUGUUGCUGAGUAUUGAACUGCCAGCUUUUUGGAACUCUUACAGCCCAAGCUCUCAUUCCUCAGUGGUAACAACCAGUUCAAGGCCCCUUUUAUUUGCUGUUAGGAAGAUUUUUGCAAUUAUGUGCUCUGCAUUUCAGCUUGCUCUGUUGCUCAGUAUGAUUAAGUCUCUCCCCACACCCAGCAUUUAUCUUUACUACCCCAAGUAACUCAGUAUCAGCACAUUAUUUUCAUCUCCCUUCUCUCACAGCAAAUCUUGCAUUAUAGUACAGUUUUUUAUGACUAUGUUGAACAGCUUUAAUGCCAUGCCAGUCCCCAAGGAAGGAAAAUGCCUUUCUUCACAGUGAAAACUCUGUUUAAAUCCUGCCUUCUUUUUUCCCAGCUUUUUGCCAUUUUUUUGAAUAUUGGUGAUCAGUUUCUUGAAAAAUUAACAGCACUGAAGGUGUUUUAGAAAUCUGAAUAGGCUGGAUGUGCUGGAUGUCCCUUUUCACAUGCCCAGUGACUCCUUCAGGGAACUCCAGCAGAUUUGCUUGUGAGGCAUAAGUCUUCUUUCUAAGAACUAUGCUGACUCCUUCUUAACACAUUAUUGCCUCUCCUAAUUGUUUUACUAUGC